rnacentral:lncRNA from 1 species
UCUUGGUCAGAGCAGGAGGGCUCUUCUACUCAUUACAGUACACAGUACAUUGACUCUUAAGGUAGGGUCAGGGUGAUACCAAAACAUGACUUUAUGUUGUGUACUGUAGUAUUGUGUUUAGUGUUCUGUUUAGAGGCUAAGUUAGCCUGAUCCACCACUCUGACCGCUGCGCUGAACUUUCCUUUCACUUCAUAUAUCUGGCACUCCCUGAUUAAGGAAGUGGUGGAGGAGAGCAUUCCCUGCAGGACACAGGAAAGGAAGAGGCCGUCCACAGCCAGGCAACACAGGCAUGAAUACUCCAGGUUUGGUUUGAAGCCUCUGGAAGGAAGACACAGAGCCCAGGGGACUUCCUUUGGGUUGGAGCGCAUCAUGUUGGGACCAGAGUGCACCAGAGUCCUAUGCAAAGACAAUGGCCAAGUGAGAACACUGAGGG